UCCCCUUCCUGUGGUGCGGUGGCCCCGCAGAGUUUUGCCCAAGCGCAGCUGAUGGGGGAGGAUGGAGUUUCUGGGAACCUCUCAGACUGCCAGUUACUGUGGCCCCAAGAAAGCCUGUGCCUUCAGGGCACUGCCCCCCGCUGGGCCCGCCCCAGAGACCCAGGAAUGUUACCAGCCCUAUUCCCUGCCUGGCUACCGCUACCUGAAGUCAUGGAGACCCAGCCUCUUCUACAAGGUCUCGGACGCCCAGACCUGCGUGGACGAGAGAGCCACGUGCCGCAGCCCCCUGAGGCCCCCCACCAUCCUGCCGGCGCUCCGCUCGGCGCUCUUCUGCCGCUACAGCCCACGCGACUGGGACAAGUCCAACGAUCUGCGGAUGCGAGGGGCCGAGGCCUCACGGCUGUGGGCCAGCCGGCUGACCGGCGACUCCAUGCGGCUCAUGCAGGACAAGGACGAGCUGACGCGCCAGAUGCAGGAGGGGACCUGCCGGAACCUGGGCCAGCGGCUGUCGGACAUUGGCUUCUGGAAGUCCGAGCUGGGCUACGAGCUGGAGAGGCUUCUGAACGAGACCCACAGCAUGGAGACGGUCAAGAGGCGGCUGGAGUGCGCGGCCGAGGAACUCAACUGUCCGCUGCAGGUGGCCCUGGAGUGUCUGUACCAUCGAGAGAAAAGGAUAGGGAUUGACUUGGUCCACGACAAUGUGGAGAAAAACCUUAUCCAGGAAGUGGAUUUGCUAAAAUGUUGCCAAGAACACAUGAGAAAACUAGCUCAAAGAAUUGAUAUCCAGAUGCGGGAUAACCGAGAUGCUCAGCACGCUCUCGAGAGGGACCUUGAGGACAAAAGCUCGGCCCAGUUUAUCGAUGAGAAGUGCUAUAACCUGAGGAACACGUCAGACUGCAUCACUUUCUUCCACGGCAUGGAGAAAGUCGAUGGCACGGUCUCCGUGCCCGAGACCUGGGCCAAGUUCAGUAACGACAACAUCAGGCACUCACAGAACAUGCGGGCCAACUCCAUCCAGCUGCGGGAGGAGGCUGAGAACCUCUUGGAGACCUUGUCAGACCAGAUGUGGAAGCAGUUUACUAACACCAACCUGGCCUUCAGCGCCCGCAUCUCCGAGGUGACAGACGUGAAGAAUAAGCUCCAGACACAGCUGGCUAAGACGCUGCAGGAGAUCUUCCAGGCUGAGAAUACCAUCAUGCUUCUGGAAAGGUCCAUCAUGGCCAAGGAGUGCCCACUGAAGGUGGCGCAGACGAGGCUGGAGUGCCGGACCUGGCGCCCCAACGUGGAGCUGUGCAGGGACAUCCCACAGUUCAAGCUCGUGAACGAGGUAUUCACCAUCGACGACACCUUGCAGACCCUGAGGCUGAGGCUGCGGGAGACCCAGGACAUGCUGCAGCUGCUGGAGCACAGUGUGUAGACCUCGGGAGCUGAAGACCGGAUACCGGAGCCGAGAUUGGCCAGAACCCAGCUGUCACUUAGGAGCUGGGUGGCCUUGAACGGGCUCCCAGCCGGAGCACCCUCAUGUACAAAAUGAGAAAGGAGAUCAAGUCCUAAAGAGGAGUUAAAGACGACCUACCAUCCUGUGGAGACUGUCCUUGAGGUAAGCUUGCUUGAAAGAGGACAGAGUCCCUUUUUCUACUAAUGAGUUUUGUU